CUUGCUCUAUUUGUCUCCUUAGGUCUGUCAAAACAGCAAUACAUUAACAUUAGAAAAUCAGCACAAGAAGAACAUUGUAACAUUUAUCCGUCCUAAUAUCAGAUCCAGCAAGCGAAACAAGAAUGUUUCCCUCCAAAGUGUUCAAUAAUGGUCACUGACACAUUCGCAAAAAUAACUCUUCAAUCUUUACUGGAUACUACCGCAAGAAGAAUUUUGAAUAUUUCAGAUUACCGUAAUAAAAUUGAAGGCAAUAGCGAGCUUACGCUCUUUGGAAAAUGUGGUUUUGAUGGUGCAUCAGGACAAAGCCUUACGUUCCAUUAAGACUAGUUCAUUCCAAUGACUGUACAAAGGUUAUAUGGGAAAAUCCAAAACCAUCAUCAACAUUUUAUUGCAGACCGCUUUGCUUUCAAUUUGUAAAAGAAUUCAAGGAAAUUAUUUUACAGUGUUCGGAGUCCUUGAAUGAAGAAAAAAGCCAUGCUUACCACAACAUUUUUUUCUGGUGGUGUUUCUAUCAAACAUGAAAUUUUUACAACCAUGAUUGAUGGAAAAAUUUGUUCGUGUUUAGCGGGCGCGUCAACAAUGGUCUGUUACAUAUGCGGAGCAAAGCCUAGUAAAAUGAACAAUAUGAAGGUCAUCGAGAAAAAAAUUCCGAAUGAGGACAAGUACGCUUUGGGGCUUUCUACUCUUCACUCUUGGAUCAGAGCUUUAGAAUGUGUGCUCCACAUAUCCUACAAUUUAGAUUUAAAAAAAUGGUCUGCAAAAACUUCCCAAGAAAAACAAUAAAAGGAAACAAGGAAAAAAGAAAUUCAAAAAAGGAGGAAAUGGGUCUACACGUGGAUUUUGUAAAGCAAAGGCUGGGAACGUCAAACGAUGGAAACACAGCAAGAAGAUUUUUUUUUAAUUUUGAAAAAUCUGCCGAUAUAACCGGCAUAGAUCAAACUUUAAUAAAAAACUUUUACAUUAUUCUACAAGUAUUAGCGUCUGGAGAAAAUAUCAUUCCAGAAAGAUUUGAUAAAUUUGCCAAGGAAACAGCUAAAUUAAAUACUAAUUAAUAGCUAAUUAGAUAAUAAUUAGCUACUAAUAAUAUGUAGAGUUGUAUGGAUGGUACUACAUACUGGCAUCUAUACACAAACUUCUCAUGCAUGGAGCCGACAUAAUAAGAAAUUUUAUAUUCCCUAUAGGCAACCUUUCAGAAGAAGCAGCAGAGGCGAGGAAUAAACAUUUUCGCCAUUACAGACAGUUCCACGCAAGAAAAAGUAGUAGGAUAUUUACAAACGAAGAUAUUUUACAUAAUCUAAUUCUCUCAUCAGAUCCAUUCAUAUCUACCAUAAGAUUAAAAUCUGAUAACAAAAAACUAACUAUCAUGACAGAAGAGGCUCUUUCCUUGAUUAAUUUGAAAACUAAAUUUAUUUACCUAGUUUUUUAUUAUUUGUUUGUUGUUUGUUGUUAUUGUUAUGUUAUGAGAAUAAUAGGUAUGGUAUACUUUGGGCAAAAAUGAAAAUUGUCUUUGUCAAUUCUCUCUAUUCUGAUUGAACAUCAAAACCAGUGAGUGAGUGCUAGUUAUUAAACUCUAUUGCUCUUGGAAGAAAUAAUAAAAUAUUAACUCUUCAUAUGUCAUG
rnacentral:lncRNA from 1 species